CUGAAAACGUCAAAACCAAUACGCCAACAAACUUAAAUUAGAAAGUAUAUUUACCUUUUUCUAGUUGUGUUACGACAAACUAGACACAUUCAGGAAAGAUUGAACACUUACAACUAAGAUUCACAGUGCUGCAGUAGUUUUGUAAAAAAGGAUAUGGGGAAUAGUAAUCAGAAACAAACACAAGAGAGUCAUUGGCUUUGAAUUUUUGCAAUGAUACAGCCCUACCGGCAGUUUUUAAAAAAACCUCAAAAUGUAAUUAGUUGUUGUUUAUAAACUGCAAUUUAUUAAGAAUGAACAACAAUAUUGUAAAAACUAUCCAAAUACGUUGGAAUUAUCGCAAAAAUGCCAGAAGCCGUGAAAAUAUUUCCGAUGUCACUCUUAGCUAAGAGCGUCAUAUCCUCUCUCCCGCGCGCUGCUCGCCGGGAUAGCCUUUGUUUUUUUUUUUCGCGCCAGCUGGCUGGGGGCACGCGUCUGUUGUCAGACUAAAACUUUACGCUCCUAAAAUACAUAACCUUCUUAUUUUACAAAUGGAACUCAUAUGUUUUGGUUGCUUUGGACAUAUUCUCUUUACAUGGUUAUAGGACCCACAAUUUUAUUAAAUUUCUACAUUUCUAGUCGGUUGAAACAGUAAUAAUUUUCUUGUUCAAACGAUAUAAUAAACCACAAGCCUUCAUGAGAAAACUCCGGAAUGUGACGUUCGUCUUUCAUAGACAAUAACACAUAUUUUUUAUUGGAAUAAAAAUAAAUGGGAUAGAUGUAUUUUUUUAUUGAUUAAGAAAAAAAGGAUGAAUAGUGCGAUUUUCUCUUAAAUGAUUCUAAACUCCCUUGUGAACGAUAAAAGUCUCUUGGAAUCUAUUUUACAUUCCGUAUAAAUGUAAUGAAGUGUGAAGUAACUUUGAUGCUUGUGGUAAGACAAGGUUUUCAUUCAGUAAACCUAUUUAGCAUUUUAUCUAAUUUAUUUCUUUGUCAAUUUUUAGCCAAUCUGAUAAUGCAUAAUUUAAAAACAAAAUAUGGGAAAACAAUGAGCGUGUAGAGCUUUGGUUGUAAUUCAUGCACAUUGAAUGUAUGCAAACUCCCUAAAGAUUACGGCGUCGAAACUCGAGAAUACUAAAGGCCGGAGGAUUGGCUGCUUUUUAAGGGGUUUAUUAGAAAAAAAGAUGUCAAUUCUCGUGCGGCUGUCUUAAUGAAGCUUUAAAGAUUUUAAAGACAAAAAUGGGAGACGAACAAUUGAAGUUAAAACCGCUCUUUACGAUAGAAAAUCUCAAUUUAUCGCUUUCAUCUCAUAGUGGAAUAUAAUGAGACAGAAAACGAGACCAUCGACUAAACCUUUUAACCCAUCGUCGGGUCGCAUUUGAUUGAAAAUCAUGAGUUUCAAGACAACGGACAUUCGGAGUAUAAUCGCACCGUCGAAAAGAGUUGUUACAGUUCGCAAGGUUGAAAGCGAUGGGGAUGUCAAAGAAGCAGAGACAGAAAAAAGCGUCGUAUUGGACACGGUGUUCGGUUUGACAGCUGGAACUAAUGCCUCCCUUUCUUGUAAUGCGGUGACUGGCGUGGUUGCGUAUCCUGCCGGUUGUGUAACUGUUCUCUUCAAUCCCCUUACUGGAGCUCAAGACUUUAUCCAUAAUACAUUGAGGAAAACGAUAUCAUGCUUGUCAUUUUCCAAAGAUGGUAAAUAUCUGGUGAUUGGCGAGAGCGGUCACAAACCGUCGGUUCGGGCAUGGAGUAUAGACGAGCCAGGUUAUCCCCAGAUAUCAGAAAUGGCCAAUGGACACAAACAUGGCGUAGCGUGUGUGGCGUUUGCUCCUGAUCUGAAGCACGUGGUGUCUGCCGGCUUUCAGCAUGACCUUCUGGUCAACAUGUGGAACCUCAAGAGUGGGAAGAUAGUGGCUUGUAACAAGGUGUCAACCAAGAUAUAUGGAAUAUGUUUUUCCGAGAGUGCCAGCUUUUUCGUCACAUGUGGCGUUCGUCACCUUAAGUUUUGGUACUUUGAAGAGGCACUUAACAAACCCAAGGACAAUAGUCAACAAAACUCCAAGAUCCCUUUGAGCGGCCGCUCAGCUUUACUGGGGAAGGAGCGUUACAGUGCCUUCUGUGACGUAGUAUGUGGCAUAGGGAAGACCGCUGACUAUACGUAUAGUGUGACCAGCAACGGCAAGUUGUGUGCAUUCGGCGCGAGCAGGUCACUGGAAAAGUCCUUCGAACUGAGGGCGAGCCGUGCUCUGUGUCUCGCCGUUAGUGAGCAGUUCAUAUGCUGUGGAUGUACGAACGGGAUUGUCAGAGUUUGUGAUCCAGUGACUCUAGAGAUCAUUAGGACUCUUCCUAGACCACAUUUUCUGGGUGUGGACGUGGGGAAGGCUGUCGAUGGCAGUUGUGAAGAUGAAAAGGAAUCGGAUCUCUAUCCAGACGCCAUUGCAUUGUCGAUGGACCCCAAACACAAUAAGGUCACGUGCUUGUAUAAUGACCGCAGCUUGUACGUAUGGGAAAUGUUGGAUAUUGACAAAAUCGUCAAGAGCUUUUCGUCUCUGUACCACAGUUCGGGCAUAUGGGGGAUAAAGGCUGCUGUGAAACUUGCCGAAUUGAAUGGUUCAACUUCUCCCUAUGGGACGUUCCUGACAUGCUCUAGUGAUGACACUGUCAGAUUCUGGGACAUGGACAGAGGAGCAGUGAACCCUUUAAGCAAGGAACUUUCUCGGGUCCUUUACAUCGAUCCUUGCUAUACGAAUUUGAAAAAGACGGAUAAUUUACUAACUAGUAAGAACGUUCGUCAGGCAAGCAAAGAAGACCAAAGACGUGGUAUCAAGACUGUAGCAAUUAGUGCGGGUGGAAAGCUAUUGGCUGUUGGCGAUAAAAUAGGGAAUGUCAGGAUUUACGAUACAGUACACAUGAAAGAAAGGUACAAGAUCAGCGCACAUGAGUCCGAGGUGCUUUGUGUGGAGUUCUCCCCUCUAAAAUCAGGUUAUAAUCUUCUAGUGUCUGCUGGUCGAGACCGACUUAUUCAUGUGUAUAACGCCAGUGAGGACUUCACGCUACUUCAGACACUCGACGAUCACUCCGCCAGCAUCGCAUCCAUCAAGUUUCACGUUCAUAGUAAUGGGGAAUUCCAGUUGCUGAGCUGUGGAGCUGACCGGACGAUCUACUUUCGCGUUGCUCGAAAGGAAACCCAGCUAAUGUUCGUCAGGACAACGAACGUCGUUAACAAGACUGGCUUGCGUGACAUGGCCAUCGACUGCUCGAGGAAUCUUGCCGCGGUUGCAUGUCAAGAUCGUACAAUAAGGAUUUAUGAUUCCUCUAGUGGGAAACACGUGAAGACCUUUAAAGGAUCCAAGAGUAACGAUGGCACUCUUACAAAGAUAACAAUAGACCGCUCGGGCUGUUAUGCUGUGACUAGCUGCUCCGAUAAGACGCUCUCGUUCCUUGACCUCGACUCGGGGGAAUGCGUCGCUACUUUGUCAGGACAUUCGGAACAAAGCACGGACAUGUUGUUCAGCAGUGACUGCUCGAGGUUAAUCACGGUUUCCGCGGAUGGAUGUAUCUUUAUAUGGCGUUUGCCUCUUGAAUGUACCCAGAAUAUGAUCACUCGGCAUGCGCAGAUGGGGAUACAGUGUCCAGCGGGACCUAUUAUUCUUAACCACAGCGCUUCAGAACCUCACGACCUGAAGAUUCUUGAAAGCAUUACGACAGGAGGUGCUACAGCAGAAACUAGUGUUAACGGCAAGAAUACUCAAGCAGAACGGUUGAUGAACGGGGAAAUUUCGAAGAUCACAGAAACACAAGAUCGACACGUUCAGGAGGACGCCCGCAAUUCUAAUUUAGAGAAACAAGACUUUGUUGUGCAGAAUGUGGUGCCAACGAUCAUGGAGUCUGGAAACCUACGACCAAGAAAACCCUCUAGUACAACAGCGAACUUGACAAGUGAUGGCAAUGAAGUAAUUCCUGAGUCAGCGAACGUAGAACGAGAUUUCCAAGAACCAAACAUUAAACAAGAGAGCUCAACAAACGAUUUCCAAGAAACAAAUAUUGAACAAGCGAACUCAACAAGCGACUUCCAAGAAUCAAACUUUGAACAAGUUAACUCAACAAGCGAUAUUCAGAAAUCAAGCAAAUCAACUAAUGUCAUAACCGAGUUCAAAGAACCAAGUACUAAACCAGAAAAAUCAACAGGCGUGGAUAAUAUCGAUGACCAUAAACCGAACGCUGAAUACAAGGAGAGAGAUUUUGCCCCUUUAGAGUUCGUCCCAAAUGACCAAGUCCAGGAGCACUUUAUAGACAACUCUCACUCGACGAGUGAAACACAAGAAAAUACUACGACCUUAGAAGUUUCAGCAGAGACUAGUUCCUUUCGGUUCAGCAUUGGGCAGCUUCCAACAUGGGCGCGUUACCGGAUUGUCUCCCAAGGAAAUGGGCAAGCGAGUUCAUCGACAAAACCACGAUCAGCCGUUACCAGUCCCACUCAGCCAGUGGGACGUUGGGCCGAGGUAUAAAACCGUGAAUGAUACUUGAAAUCUUCAGAGGCUCCAGCGUUUGAACAGCACAGCGACCGCGUCGGAACACGGCCCACCAAACACGCCCAUAUCAGAGAAUACGGAAAAGAAAACAUUACAAACUCAACCAGAACCACUCAAGCAAACAAA